rnacentral:rRNA from 1 species
GAUCCUGGCUCAGGAUGAACGCUAGCGGCAGGCCUAACACAUGCAAGUCGAGGGGCAGCAUGGCGUAGCGAUACGCUGAUGGCGACCGGCGCACGGGUGCGUAACGCGUAUGCAACCUGUCCGGCGCAGGGGGGUAGCCCGUCGAAAGGCGGGGUAAUCCCGCAUGAACCGGUAUUCCCGCAUGGGGGUGCCGGCAAAGUGGAGACGCGGGGCCGGAGGGGCAUGCGUGCCAUUAGCUGGCUGGUGGGGUAACGGCCCACCAGGGCGAUGAUGGCUAGGGGGUCUGAGAGGAUGGUCCCCCACACUGGUACUGAGACACGGACCAGACUCCUACGGGAGGCAGCAGUGAGGAAUAUUGGUCAAUGGGCGGAAGCCUGAACCAGCCAUGCCGCGUGCAGGAAGGAGGCCCUACGGGUUGUAAACUGCUUUUACCCGGGAAGAAACCGCCCCCUGUGGGGGGCGUUGCCGGUACCGGGGGAAAAAGGAUCGGCUAACUCCGUGCCAGCAGCCGCGGUAAUACGGAGGAUCCGGGCGUUAUCCGGAAUUACUGGGUUUAAAGGGUGCGUAGGCGGGGCUUUAAGCCGGCGGUGAAAUGCAGCGGCUCAACCGCUGGAAUGCCGUUGGGACUGGGGCUCUUGGAUACGGUCGGGGCGGGUGGAACUCGUGGUGUAGCGGUGAAAUGCAUAGAUAUCACGAGGAACGCCGGUAGCGAAGGCAGCUCGCCGGGCCGGUAUUGACGCUGAGGCACGAAAGCGUGGGGAUCGAACAGGAUUAGAUACCCUGGUAGUCCACGCCGUAAACGAUGAUGGCUGGGUGUUGGCGAUAGACGGUCAGCGCCUGAGGGAAACCAUUAAGCCAUCCACCUGGGGAGUACGGCCGCAAGGCUGAAACUCAAAGGAAUUGACGGGGGCCCGCAC